rnacentral:rRNA from 1 species
AGCAGCCGCGGUAAUUCCAGCUCCAAUAGCGUAUAUUAAAGUUGUUGCAGUUAAAAAGCUCGUAGUUGAAUUUCGGGAUCAAGUCGUCGGUCGUGCUCAGGUACGUACUGGCGUCAUUGAUUUCUCCCUUCUGACGAACCAUGAUGUCAUUAAUUUGGUGUUAUGGGAAAUCAGGACUGUUACUUUGAAAAAAUUAGAGUGUUUAAAGCAGGCUCACGCUUGAACACAUUAGCAUGGAAUAAUGAAAUAGGACGUUCGAUCCUAUUUUGUUGGUUUUAGGAUCAACGUAAUGAUUAAUAGGGAUAGUUGGGGGCAUUAGUAUUCAAUUGUCAGAGGUGAAAUUCUUGGAUUUAUUGAAGACUAACUACUGCGAAAGCAUUUGCCAAGGAUGUUUUCAUUAAUCAAGAACGAAAGUUAGGGGAUCGAAGACGAUCAGAUACCGUCGUAGUCUUAACCAUAAACUAUGCCGACUAGGGAUCGGAUGAUGUUAAUUUUUUAAUGACUCA